rnacentral:rRNA from 1 species
CGCGGUAUUUUGACUGUGCGAAGGUAGCAUAAUCAUUUGUCUUUUAAUUGGAGACUUGUAUGAAUGGUUGAACGAGAAAAUAACUGUCUCUUUAAAAAAUCUUGAAUUUUACUUUUAAGUGAAAAGGCUUAAAUAAUUUUAAGGGACGAUAAGACCCUAUAAAUCUUUAUAUUAUUUUUCUUUAACUUUCAAAUUAUAUAUUAAAAGAAAACAAAGAAAAAAAUAUUGUAUUGGGGAGAUAAAAAUAUAAUUUUUAACUGUUUAAAGUAUAAAACAAUAAUUUUUGAUUUAUUAAAAAUUGAUCCUUUUUAAAGAUUUUAAGAUUAAGUUACUUUAGGGAUAACAGCGUAAUUUUUUUUGAGAGUUCUUAUCGAAAAAAAAGUUUGCGACCUCGAUGUUGAAUUAAAAUAUCCUUAUAAGUGCAGAAGCUAUAAAGGAAAGUCUGUUCGACUUUUAAAAUUUUACAU